rnacentral:rRNA from 1 species
AAACCAACAGGGAUUGCCUUAGUAACGGCGAGUGAAGCGGCAACAGCUCAAAUUUGAAAUCUGGCCCUUUCAGGGUCCGAGUUGUAAUUUGUAGAGGAUGCUUUUGGGCAGCCACCGGUCUAAGUUCCUUGGAACAGGACGUCACAGAGGGUGAGAAUCCCGUACGUGGCCGGCAGGCACCCUUUGCAAAGCUCCUUCGACGAGUCGGGUUGUUUGGGAAUGCAGCCCUAAAUGGGAGGUAAAUUUCUUCUAAAGCUAAAUACCGGCCAGAGACCGAUAGCGCACAAGUAGAGUGAUCGAAAGAUGAAAAGCACUUUGGAAAGAGAGUUAAAAAGCACGUGAAAUUGUUGAAAGGGAAGCGCUUGCGAUCAGUCUCGACGGCGGCCGCUCCCCCGGUCUUCUGACCGGGUCACUCGGCCGCCGCCGGGCCAGCAUCGGUUCCGGCGGUCGGAGAAAGGUUGCGGGAAUGUAGCUCCCCCGGGAGUGUUAUAGCCCGCGGCGCAAUACGGCCAGCUGGGACCGAGGUCCGCGCUUCGGCUAGGAUGCUGGCGAAAUGGUCGUAAGCGGC